GUGCCCUUUUAAGGUACAAGUACUUUAAGAGGCUAACACAAAAGGGUAAAGGAAAUAAAUCUCCAGAAAACCCAGAGAAGAGAUGGCAAACCAACUCCUCUUUGUAUCCUGCCUGGAGUCACAGGU
ensembl:snoRNA